UUCUCCCCGAAAGCUAUUUAGGUAGCGCCUCGGACGAAUACCAUUGGGGGUAGAGCACUGUUUCGGCUAGGGGGUCAUCCCGACUUACCAAACCGAUGCAAACUCCGAAUACCAAUGAGUACUAUCCGGGAGACAGACUGCGGGUGCUAACGUCCGUAGUCAAGAGGAAAACAAUCCAGACCGCCAGCUAAGGCCCCAAAAUCAUAGUUAAGUGGGAAACGAUGUGGGAAGGCAUAGACAGCUAGGAGGUUGGCUUAGAAGCAGCCACCCUUUAAAGAAAGCGUAAUAGCUCACUAGUCGAGUCGGCCUGCGCGGAAGAUGUAACGGGGCUAAAACUAUGUGCCGAAGCUGCGGAUGUAUACUUUGUAUACGUGGUAGGGGAGCGUUCUGUAAGCCGAUGAAGGUGGAUUGAGAAGUCUGCUGGAGGUAUCAGAAGUG
rfam:Acinetobacter rudis CIP 110305 genomic scaffold acVBL-supercont1.1, whole genome shotgun sequence.